GACCCCUACGGGAGGCAGCAGUGAGGAAUAUUGGUCAAUGGCCGAGAGGCUGAACCAGCCAAGUCGCGUGAGGGAAGAAUGUCCUAUGGAUUGUAAACCUCUUUUGUCAGGGAGCAAAGUCACCCACGUGUGGGUGUUGGAGAGUACCUGAAGAAAAAGCAUCGGCUAACUCCGUGCCAGCAGCCGCGGUAAUACGGAGGAUGCGAGCGUUAUCCGGAUUUAUUGGGUUUAAAGGGUGCGUAGGCGGGCUGUUAAGUCAGCGGUAAAAGCCCGGGGCUCAACCCCGGCGAGCCGUUGAAACUGGC
rnacentral:rRNA from 1 species